UCCCACAACAAAACACCAAAUGGCCAACUCCCACCGGAGCACAAAACAGAGACGCCGUGGACUGAUCACACUGCCACGGAAGGUGUCAUGCCUCGGUGCCAAGAGGACAUGCAUGUGGUACCCCCACAGGUGGUUAUAGCUCAGGUAUACCCUACGGUAUUCUAACAAGGAUACCAUGUCACAACACAUGCGACAUAAUAUCAACA
rnacentral:lncRNA from 1 species